rnacentral:rRNA from 1 species
AUUGAUUUGCUUUGUCCUCGUGCUCUGCACAUGAUGGUAACUUAGAUUUUGCUUGGGCUGGUGCCUUUCUCACUUGAGAACCCGGAUUACAAGGGCCUUGAGCUAGAUCUGAUGGCGUUCUGCGAGAAGCAUGGGAAGCCAUCAAAGAGGCUUGUUGCAUUUGAAGGAACAUACAAUGGGAGAAGAUUCUUAGCAUGUGCAGAGCCGGAAGGUCACAAUUAUGGGUUUGUUCAGUAGGUUGAUGAGCAGUGGCCCCUAACAUUGGAGAAUGCAUUGUUGAAGCUUUGGUCAAUGGUUGAAGAGAGCAAGUCAGCUAGGGUGAAUGAUAAUCUUGAAAGUGCUUUAACUAUUCACCAUCUGACAGAAGAAAAGAACAAGCUAGAUGCAGACUAUGACAAGUUAGUCAAAGAUGUGCAUCAACUUGUGGAUAUGCAGGAGGAUAGGCUUGUGGAUUCCAGUUAUCUGCACUCCAAUAUCACAUAUCAGCACCAAUGCAGAGUUGAAUUGGUGGCUGAUAUGAAGGCAGGAAUGGCAAAGAAAGAUGCAGUUACAAAGAAGCUUAAUCAGAAGUAUGAACUACUGUGCAACCUGACAAGUGCUCAAGCAACUGUCAUUCAGAACUUGAAGUUGAAGAAUAUGAAAGAGAAGGAAUUGUUGAGUGAGGCUAGGAUGAAUUUGGAGUUGAAGAAUACAGACUUUACAAAGUUUGAGGAGAAGCUCAUCCAAGAGAAGCUAGAGUUGAAAUUUUAG